rnacentral:rRNA from 1 species
AUUGAACGCUGGCGGCAGGCCUAACACAUGCAAGUCGAACGGUAACAGGAAGAAGCUUGCUUCUUUGCUGACGAGUGGCGGACGGGUGAGUAAUGUCUGGGAAACUGCCUGAUGGAGGGGGAUAACUACUGGAAACGGUAGCUAAUACCGCAUAACGUCGCAAGACCAAAGAGGGGGACCUUCGGGCCUCUUGCCAUCGGAUGUGCCCAGAUGGGAUUAGCUAGUAGGUGGGGUAACGGCUCACCUAGGCGACGAUCCCUAGCUGGUCUGAGAGGAUGACCAGCCACACUGGAACUGAGACACGGUCCAGACUCCUACGGGAGGCAGCAGUGGGGAAUAUUGCACAAUGGGCGCAAGCCUGAUGCAGCCAUGCCGCGUGUAUGAAGAAGGCCUUCGGGUUGUAAAGUACUUUCAGCGGGGAGGAGGGGAGUAAAGUUAAUACCUUUGCUCAUUGACGUUGCCCGCAGAAGAAGCACCGGCUAACUCCGUG